rnacentral:rRNA from 1 species
UUUAAUUCGAAGCAACGCGAAGAACCUUACCAGGUCUUGACAUCCUCUGCUACUUCUAGAGAUAGAAGGUUCCCCUUCGGGGGACGGAGUGACAGGUGGUACAUGGUUGUCGUCAGCUCGUGUCGUGAGAUGUUGGGUUAAGUCCCGCAACGAGCGCAACCCUUGACCUUAGUUGCCAGCAUUCAGUUGGGCACUCUAAGGUGACUGCCGGUGACAAACCGGAGGAAGGUGGGGAUGACGUCAAAUCAUCAUGCCCCUUAUGACCUGGGCUACACACGUGCUACAAUGGACGGUACAAAGGGCUGCGAAACCGCGAGGUGGAGCCAAUCCCAGAAAACCGUUCUCAGUUCGGAUUGCAGGCUGCAACUCGCCUGCAUGAAGCCGGAAUCGCUAGUAAUCGCGGAUCAGCAUGCCG